UACGUAGGGUGCAAGCGUUGUCCGGAAUUAUUGGGCGUAAAGCGCACGUAGGCGGAUCUUUAAGUCAGGGGUGAAAUCCCGAGGCUCAACCUCGGAACUGCCUUUGAUACUGGGGAUCUCGAGUCCGGGAGAGGUGAGUGGAACUGCGAGUGUAGAGGUGAAAUUCGUAGAUAUUCGCAAGAACACCAGUGGCGAAGGCGGCUCACUGGCCCGGAACUGACGCUGAGGUGCGAAAGCGUGGGGAGCAAACAGG
rnacentral:rRNA from 1 species